AAAAUCAUACAGAUAGAAAAAAAAACAUAAUAAAAAAAUCACAAAAAUUUUAAACCGAGCCAAGCAUGAAUCUACAUCAUAGCAAAAAUUGAAAUUAUCAACAACAUCAUGACAACAAAUCCAUCAUAGGCAUCUAUAGCAGUAAGAAGAAUUUAUUUUGAAUGAGUUAAUAACUUACCCGAAAUCUUAUUUCUCUUGAUCGAAAAAUUUGCAUGCCUUUUAUUCAUUGUUG
rnacentral:lncRNA from 1 species